rnacentral:rRNA from 1 species
ACUGCGUUCGACCUUCACUCUUCACACGCGGAACCAUUGGGGCUGUGGAAACCUCCUUGAUUGGUGGUAGAAGCGCUUCCGCAUUCAACACAUGCAUAUGCCCCUGUCCGUGGAGGUUACUGUGAACAAAACAGCGUGUCCAAAGCAACCACAUGUCUGGCUGAAUGAUCUAGCAUGGAAUAACAAGGCAUCGACCACUGGAGUCAGCCUUUUUGUUGGUUUUACAUGACCCAGUUGGGCAAUGCAGGGCUUGUGCUUCAUUGAGGUUCUUAGUCAGCUCUACCGAACUGUCUUCCCUCAGUUGGACCUUGUUCCCUAUCGGGAUCAAUGGAAGCCAUCGGGGUGGUAUGUAUUCCGACGUGAGCGGUGAAAUGCUUAGACCGUUGGAAGACAAACGACAGCGAAGGCAUUCCGCCAGAAUGUUUUCAUUAAUCAAGAACGAGAGUGUGGGGAUCGAAGAUGAUCAGAUACCAUCGUAGUCCAUUACCGUAAACUAUGCCAACUCGGCAUUGGGAGUCUGUUCACUUUGAAGACUCUCCCGGCAUCAUCCCCCAAUAACGAGAAAUCCAAGUCUAUGGGUUCAGGGGGGAGUACAGUCGCAAGGCUGAAACUUAAAGGAAUUGACGGAAUGACACCACAAGGCGUGGAGUAUGCGGCUUAAUUUGACACAACACGGGGAAGCUCACCAGGUCAGACACAGUAAGGAUUGACAGAUUGAGAGCUCUUUCUUGAUCCUAUGGAUGGUGGUGCAUGGCCGUUUCUGGUUCGUGGAGUGAUCUGUCUGCUUAAUUGCGAUAACGAACGAGAUCUCUACCUCUAAAUAGGCGCCGGUCUCGCAUGUAAGUAGGGAUGUGUUGGGGGCCUUCGUGUCCCCUCAUGUCCUGAGAGUGCCGGGAUCGCUUCUUAGACGGACUGUGCAUGUCUUUAAUGCACGGAAGAGGGAGUCAAUAGCAGGUCUGUGAUGCUCCUAGAUGUUCUGGGCUGCACGCGCACUACACUGGCACAGUAAACGAGUUGCACCUGCUUCGGCAGUCCUGCUUAGAAGUGAGCGUGGGAAAUCUUAGAAAACUGUGCCGUGCUGGGGAUAGAUGAUUGCGAUUAUUUGUCUUGAACGAGGAAUGCCUAGUAGAGGUACUUCAUCAGAGUACCUUGAUUGUGUCCCUGCCAUUUGUACACACCGCCCGUCGUUGCUACCGAUUGGCUGUAAAAUAGAGGCCUUAAGAGUCGCUUCCGCAAAGCUUUGCUUUUGAGGUUGUGACAAAUCUGGCCAAUAUUUCAUUGCUAGAGGAAGCAAAAGUCGUAACAAGG